rnacentral:rRNA from 1 species
GACGAACGCUGGCGGCGUGCCUAAUACAUGCAAGUUGAGCGCUGAAGGUUGGUACUUGUACCGACUGGAUGAGCAGCGAACGGGUGAGUAACGCGUGGGGAAUCUGCCUUUGAGCGGGGGACAACAUUUGGAAACGAAUGCUAAUACCGCAUAAAAACUUUAAACACAAGUUUUAAGUUUGAAAGAUGCAAUUGCAUCACUCAAAGAUGAUCUCGCGUUGUAUUAGCUAGUUGGUGAGGUAAAGGCUCACCAAGGCGAUGAUACAUAGCCUACCUGAGAGGGUGGUCGGCCACAUUGGGACUGAGACACGGCCCAAACUCCUACGGGAGGCAGCAGUAGGGAAUCUUCGGCCAUGGACGAAAGUCUGACCGAGCAACGCCGAGUGAGUGAAGAAGGGUUUCGGAUCGUAAAACUCUGUUGGUAGAGAAGAACGUUGGUGAGAGUGGAAAGCUCAUCAAGUGACGGUAACUACCCAGAAAGGGACGGCUAACUACGUG